rnacentral:rRNA from 1 species
UACGUAGGUGGCUAGCGUUGUCCGGAAUCAUUGGGCGUAAAGCGCGUGUAGGCGGUCCGGUAAGUCCGCUGUGAAAGUCGGGGGCUCAACCCUCGGAUGCCGGUGGAUACUGUCGGGCUUGAGUACGGAAGAGGCGAGUGGAAUUCCUGGUGUAGCGGUGAAAUGCGCAGAUAUCAGGAGGAACACCAAUUGCGAAGGCAGCUCGCUGGGACGUUACUGGCGCUGAGACGCGAAAGCGUGGGGAGCAAACAGG